CUUGACGACCAUAGAGCGUUGGAACCACCUGAUCCCAUCCCGAACUCAGUAGUGAAACGACGCAUCGCCGAUGGUCGCCGAUGGUAGUGUGGAGUUUCUCCAUGUGAGAGUAGGUCAUCGUCAAGC
rnacentral:rRNA from 1 species